AGUUAAUGAACUUGUUAAAGUGUAUAUUUUGAAAAUAUAAAAAAGAAACGGGAUUUUCUAUUAACUU
rnacentral:tRNA from 1 species